GUGAUAGUUUCUCCUAUGUAUCUUUUUGCAGUUUUCCCAGAAAGAGCCACACCAGUAUCCUGGAAACAGUUCCCUCAACUCAAUAAAAUGAGUUUGACUACUCCAAGGAAGGGUCAUAGUGGAUAUGUUCAUGUCCAAACCAGAUCCUCUUUUAUACUGAAAUGCUUAUUCUUUCAUCUGAGAUUUUAUUUAUUUGCCAGAGAGAGAAUGCACAAUGAGGAGGAGCAGCAGUCAGAGGGAGAAGCAGGCUCCCCAGCUGAGCAAGAAGCCUGAUGUGGGAUUCCGCCCCAGGACCCUAGGAUCAUGACCUGAGCUGAAGACUACAGCUUAACCCACUGAGCCACCCAGGUGUUCC
rnacentral:lncRNA from 1 species